UACGUAGGGUGCAAGCGUUUAAUCGGAAUUACUGGGCGUAAAGCGUGCGCAGGCGGUUUUGUAAGUCUGUCGUGAAAUCCCCGGGCUCAACCUGGGAAUUGCGAUGGAGACUGCAAGGCUAGAAUCUGGCAGAGGGGGGUAGAAUUCCACGUGUAGCAGUGAAAUGCGUAGAGAUCGGGUGGAACACCAGGGGGCGAAGGCGGCAUCCUGGCCCAGAACUGACGCUGAGGCGCGAGAGCGGUGGGGGAGCGAACCGG
rnacentral:rRNA from 1 species